rnacentral:rRNA from 1 species
UACGUAGGUGACCAGCGUUGUCCGGAUUUACUGGGCGUAAAGAGCGCGCAGGCGGUCGUUCAAGUCGAGUGUGAAAGCCCCCGGCUCAACUGGGGAGGGUCACUCGAUACUGAUCGACUUGAAGGCAGGAGAGGGAAGCGGAAUUCCCGGUGUAGUGGUGAAAUGCGCAGAUAUCAGGAAGAACACCAACGGCGAAGGCAGCUCGCUGGGACGGAACUGACGCUAAGGCGCGAAAGCGUGGGGAGCGAACGAGGA